AUCCGUGACGUGUCGACUAUUUUUAGCUGGUAGCAAAAUGGCAGGCAUGGAUGUAAACAUGUGCGCCGAGAUCAUGUUGUGGAUUGAUACUAUGCGUGUGGAUGUCGAACUAUGCAGGAGAUAUGACUCCUAUACUACUUGUGUUGUGUAGAAGAGGUGAAAGAUGCGGGGUACCCGUGUCAUGGUGUUUGAUUCCAUAUGAUGUAUGCUCCAGUGACUCAUUACAAUCAACUGCUUCAGCCCCUAAGUUGAAUUUAUCCAAUUGCAUUUAACAUGUUUUUGGCUUAUGCGUGAGACCAUCUGUAUCAAUUGGUGAAUUGGCUGGUUCUACCUCCCUAUGUUCCUGCCUGUUACCCAGCUUUUCCUAUGUGGAGACCAUCGGCAUAAUUUUGUAUGAGGAAAACAAUUAUGUGCAUUGAUAACCUCCAAACAGAAAUAUCAACAUGAUUAUACAUGUUAAUUAUACAUAUACAAACCUAAUCUUAGUACAUGUAUUUAUAUGUUGAAUCCGAGCUAAGGAUAUUGCAACUCUUGGUGUUUUUUUUUAAAUUAUUAGCAAUGAUAUUUGAAACUUAAACAGUCAAAAUUAAUGUUCAUAUGCAAAUAUUAUUUAUUUAAACCAUUAUUUAUUUGUUAACAGUUUCCUGACUAUGAGUUAUUUUUUCAAUAUUCCCUUGAAAAAUGAAUAAUAAAUGUUUGAAAAUCU
rnacentral:sRNA from 1 species